UACGUAGGGUGCAAGCGUUGUCCGGAAUUAUUGGGCGUAAAGAGCUCGUAGGCGGUCUGUCGCGUCUGCUGUGAAAACUCGGGGCUUAACCCCGGGCCUGCAGUGGGUACGGGCAGACUAGAGUGCGGUAGGGGAGACUGGAAUUCCUGGUGUGGCGGUGAAAUGCGCAGAUAUCAGGAGGAACACCGGUGGCGAAGGCGGGUCUCUGGGCCAUAACUGACGCUGAGGAGCGAAAGCGUGGGGAGCGAACAGG
rnacentral:rRNA from 1 species